AACGAACGCUGGCGGCAUGCCUAACACAUGCAAGUCGAACGAGAUCUUCGGGUCUAGUGGCGCACGGGUGCGUAACGCGUGGGAAUCUGCCCUUUGGUUCGGAAUAACAGUUGGAAACGACUGCUAAUACCGGAUGAUGACGAAAGUCCAAAGAUUUAUCGCCAGAGGAUGAGCCCGCGUAGGAUUAGCUAGUUGGUGUGGUAAAGGCGCACCAAGGCGACGAUCCUUAGCUGGUCUGAGAGGAGGAUCAGCCACACUGGGACUGAGACACGGCCCAGACUCCUACGGGAGGCAGCAGUGGGGAAUAUUGGACAAUGGGCGAAAGCCUGAUCCAGCAAUGCCGCGUGAGUGAUGAAGGCCUUAGGGUUGUAAAGCUCUUUACCCGGGAUGAUAAUGACAGUACCGGGAGAAUAAGCUCCGGCUAACUCCGUGCCAGCCGCCGCAGUAA
rnacentral:rRNA from 1 species